CGGGGUGAGUAAUGUCUGGGAAACUGCCCGAUGGAGGGGGAUAACUACUGGAAACGGUAGCUAAUACCGCAUAACGUCGCAAGACCAAAGAGGGGGACCUUCGGGCCUCUUGCCAUCGGAUGUGCCCAGAUGGGAUUAGCUAGUAGGUGGGGUAAUGGCUCACCUAGGCGACGAUCCCUAGCUGGUCUGAGAGGAUGACCAGCCACACUGGAACUGAGACACGGUCCAG
rnacentral:rRNA from 1 species